rnacentral:rRNA from 1 species
ACUCAAAUGAAUUGACGGGGACCCGCACAAGCGGAGGAUGAUGUGGUUUAAUAUGACGGUACGCGUAAAACCUUACCCAGACUUGACAUCCUUGGAAUCCACUGGAAACAGAGGAGUGCCUUCGGGAACCAAGUGACAGGUACUGCAUGGCCGUCGUCAGCUCGUGUCGUGAGAUGUUGGGUUAAGUCCCGCAACGAGCGCAACCCUUAUCGUAUGUUGGAUUUUUCAUGCGAUACUGCCCGGGCCAACCGGGAGGAAGGUGGGGAUGAGGUCAGGUCUGCAUGGUCCUUAUGUCUGGGGCUACUCACGUCAUACAAUGGCCGGUACAGAGCGCCGCAAAGCCGCGAGGUGGAGCUAAUCGCAUCAAAACCGGUCUCAGUUCGGAUUGGAGGCUGCAACUCGCCUCCAUGAAGUCGGAUUCGCUAGUAAACGCAGGUCAGCACACUGCGUUGAAUACGUUCCCGGGUCUUGUACACACCGCCCGU